AGGGAGGUAUUAAGCAGGCAUCAAAUUUGUGUCCAGAUCCUGGAGAACCAGAAAAUGGAAAACGGAUAGGCUCAGAUUUUAGCUUGGGAGCAACAGUACAGUUUUCUUGUGAUGAAGAUUACG